rnacentral:rRNA from 1 species
GAUGAACGCUGGCGGUCUGCUUAACACAUGCAAGUCGAACGAACUCUUCGGAGUGAGUGGCGGACGGGUGAGUAACGCGUGGGAACGUGCCCUUCUCUACGGAAUAGUCCUGGGAAACUGGGUUUAAUACCGUAUACGCCCUUCGGGGAAAGAAUUUCGGGGAAGGAUCGGCCCGCGUUGGAUUAGGUAGUUGGUGGGGUAAUGGCCUACCAAGCCGACGAUCCAUAGCUGGUUUGAGAGGAUGAUCAGCCACACUGGGACUGAGACACGGCCCAGACUCCUACGGGAGGCAGCAGUGGGGAAUCUUAGACAAUGGGGGCAACCCUGAUCUAGCCAUGCCGCGUGAGUGACGAAGGCCCUAGGGUCGUAAAGCUCUUUCGCCAGGGAUGAUAAUGACAGUACCUGGUAAAGAACCCCGGCUAACUCCGUGCCAGCGCCGCGGUAA